AGUGAACGCUGGCGGUAGGCCUAACACAUGCAAGUCGAACGGCAGCACAGGAGAGCUUGCUCUCUGGGUGGCGAGUGGCGGACGGGUGAGGAAUACAUCGGACUCUACUUUUUCGUGGGGGAUAACGUAGGGAAACUUACGCUAAUACCGCAUACGACCUACGGGUGAACGCAGGGGACCUUCGGCCCUUGCGCGAUUGAAUGAGCCGAUGUCGGAUUAGCUAGUUGGUGGGGUAGAGGCCCACCAAGGCGACGAUCCGUAGCUGGUCUGAGAGGAUGAUCAGCCACACUGGAACUGAGACACGGUCCAGACUCCUACGGGAGGCAGCAGUGGGGAAUAUUGGACAAUGGGCGCAAGCCUGAUCCAGCCAUACCGCGUGGGUGAAGAAGGCCUUCGGGUUGUAAAGCCCUUUUGUUGGGAAAGAAAUCCAGCUGGCUAAUACCCGGUUGGGAUGACGGUACCCAAAGAAUAAGCACCGGCUAACUUCGUGCCAGCCGCCGCGGUAA
rnacentral:rRNA from 1 species